rnacentral:misc_RNA from 1 species
GAGAAUUGUGGGAAUUCAAUGGCGCCUUGCAGAUAAAAGGCAAGUUGACAGUUACCUGCAACUUGUUGUUUAUUUACAUAAUUAAAGACUCUAGAGGACAAAAUAAGUGAACUACAAGGUCUUUAUAAAAUCAUCUACACUCAUGAUCAAGUACUUUGUUAUGGGAUUACGCGGUUUCUUUUUGCUGGCUGCUAAAAUCUGGAGUUUCGUUUGCUAUUGCUUCAAAAGACAGGCCAGGACGGUUAUACAACAUCAAACAGUUAGAUAUGAAGUUAUACCUCUAUCACCACUAUCCAAGCAUAGGCUUAGUAUGCUUAAGAGGAAGACAUUAGUACUUGAUCUAGAUGAAACACUGAUACAUUCUCAUCAUGAUGGCGUGUUAAAGCCGACAGUUAAACCUGGAACCCCACCCGAUUUUGUCCUUAAAGUUAAUAUUGACCGACAUCCUGUACGAUUUUUUGUACACAAGAGACCACAUGUGGAUUAUUUCUUAGAAAUUGUAAGUCAAUGGUAUGACCUAGUGGUGUUUACAGCCAGUAUGGAAAUCUACGGAGCAGCUGUGGCGGAUAAACUGGACAAUAAUAAAGGCAUACUGCGGCGCAGGUAUUAUAGGCAGCACUGUCAUUUAGCAGAAGGCAGCUACACCAAGGAUUUAUGUGAUAUCUGCAGUGACCUUUCCAGUAUAUUUAUACUUGACAAUUCACCAGUGGCAUAUAGAAAUUAUCAAGAUAACGCUAUCCCUAUACGGUCAUGGUUCAGUGACCCUACAGACACCGCUCUUCUCUGUUUGCUACCAAUGCUGGAUGCGUUGAGGUUUUGUAACGAUGUGCGAUCAGUGCUUAGUAGAAACUUGCAUCUACAUCGGACAUAGCCCAGCUGGAAUGCAAUCAUCUUUGUGGACAUCUUGUCAUCUUCACUGUAAUAUAGAGCCUUGUAUGAUCAUACUUAUACCAUACACACACGCACGUACACCCUACAUAUCAGCCCCCUAUAUACAUAGUCUAUCCCCUAAACACCUCACCUCCUUACAUAUCAAAUCUAUUGACAAUGUAUACACCUAUAUCCCUCCCCAAAACUAAAUUCUCCUUCUCCUUCCCCUUACAACAUCAUCCUAUACCUAAUACCUACCAUUCUAUCUCUUGUGACUUUUUCUUAAUUACAUACACCAGAUAUCCUUCCUGUCCAUCAUUCAACAUUUUACCGCAGACUUGGUUGAGAUUGGCGUUUCGGAAAGCAUGUAUGACUUCACAACACAUGUGGUUUAUAUGUGUUUUGCUGCAGGGCAUUGCUGGAAAAACCAUGGUUAUAAUUAUUUUCAAAACACAAUUUGAUUUUCAAAUAUGACACAUGACUAGCUAGAUGCUAUUCUACAAUUCGGCUGAUCUACAAUAUAGCCAACAGAACAGAUGUGUCUGAAAAACUUGUCCUUAAAGCUAGCUGUACCGUAUGCAUGUGUCAAAGGUUGUGUUAUCAGGGAAUUUUCAUACAUAUAAAUUUUCAACCUGUUUGAAGCUUUCAAUGAUCUCCUAGUGUAGUGUCAAUGGCUUUUAGAUAUAUAUCACGGAUUUAGUUCACGUAGAUAUUUAAAAGAAUUUGUGGCAUAAAUUUUCCUAAGUAGGAGUAGAAACAUUGGUAUGUGUAGGUUUGUCAUACUCCUUGACUGAUAAUUUGCAUACGUAGCUGAGAUUACAGGGUACGGUGUAUACCCCUUGUCACAGUCACAGCACUGUGUCGGGUGUACUUCAGGGUUACAACAUUAUAGACGUCCUUUUCUCUAUCUUCAAAAUCCAAGAAGCUGCUCUGGAAAUACACAUUUUCUAAAACCCUUGGGAUAUGUCACAACAAAAUCGAAGGCUCUUCAUAUGACACCUUGUUGAUGAGACAAUAGACUUAGUCUGAUUUCUUUGGGGUACAUGAUAGAAAUUUUACGGCUGUGUAGCGGGGAAAUUGACAGGUAUUGAAGGUAGGUGUGCCUCUUCUGUAAUCCUCAGAAAACAGGUAUCGGCUAGUAAUUGGUCAGGUUUGUAUACCUGAAUCGAUAAAAAAGCUGCGUCCUGGGGUGCAGAGGGAAGAUAUGUGUAUGAAAAGUAGAACUAUUUGAUUUCUAAGAUGCCUUUUCUAGUUUUGACUAGUACUCCCUGUUUGUGCCCGUUGACAUCUUAAGAAUAAUCUCUUUGCUGUACAACAUUCAUGAAUGAUUGUAAGGAUUACAUUCUAUCUACAACAUAAUCAUUUCUGCAAGUUUGCUUAGAAUUCGACUAUCUUAUCUUUUUUUCAGUAUAUAAAGCAUCAAGAUUUAUUUGCUAACAGAAUUGGUCACAUAAUAAUUGAGGAAAAAAAUCAGACACCAAUGAAAAUUAUUGAUAUUAAUUUCUAAAACAACUACUCUGUCAUAUGUUCUACCUCAUCAAAACACCUCAAAUUAUCUCCCUUUGUUGUACCUACACUUGUGUGGUUCACAGAUCCAGAGGAAAGUCCAGCAUUUAUUUCAAAGGCAAGGUAUUAAUGUCCACUGUUAAUAUCAAAGUUGUUGUAGCUUACUUUUGAACACUUUCAGCAUUUUGUGCAUGUGGGCUUAAUGAACUAAGUACAAUGUGUGAUGGUCAAAAAUGGCAGUGAAUUAUGACCGUUAUGAAUAAUGAAUUCACUCAUUCACCCCUGAAGAUGCAUUUGAACUCUUCCAAUUCAAAGGUUGGAAUAGUUCAUUAUUAAACUUCAGGGGUGAAUGAUUUAAGUGUUGGUGUUUAUUCUGUAUCUUAUACUUCCUUUUGCCUGUGAUUAUGAUGAGUUGAAUGUAAGUAGUGAAUUUGAUGUUUCUAAAAUUGCAAAUUGAAUGGUUUUGAACAAUUGUGUGCAAAUGCAUUUUUUUUGGUCAAGUAUAAUCUCCUUAAAAGAAUUCACCUGUAAAAUAUCUUUAUGGUUUAUAAAUGUUUGGAAUUAGUAGAUUGUAUAUUUUUUUUUAAACAUACACAGGAAUGCAUACAUUGAUAAAUCUGUGAUAUUUCUGAAGUGACAAGGUUUUAGGUGAGGAUACCGAUAACUACACCGGUCACAUCUAACAUUUAAAGUAGACAAUUUCUCACACCUUAGCCAGGGAUAUCCCAUGUUUUACGCCAUGCUAGAUGUUAUGAUAUCAUCCGAUCUGUGAAACACCUUUACGUGUUUAUGUAUGGCACCAAAUAUCAAAUGUCAAUGUAAUCAUUCUCGCACUUAAACAGAUUAAUAACCUAUAUUUGAAAUAUUCUGUAAUGGCGUUCAGUAUAUUGCCUUUGGUGUUAUUUAAUUCGCAAUAUAACAUACAUACGAUAAUCUACAUCAUGAAACAAGUGCAGAUGCCAUUUUAAAUUGAGGCCCCAGAUGGGAUAAUUGUAAACCACGUUAAAAUUAAAAUGGACUAAUAAGGAGGUACGAGAAAAAAAUCAAUUGCCUGUAACUGAGAGAGAUUAAGGCUCAGAUUCUGUAACAUCCCAACCUAGGCUUGCCUGUAGAUUAGGACUUUGUAAUUUAAACUUAACCCUUGACUGAAAUAACCUAAUCUCACUCAGUUACAGGGUAUAGGUCCUACUGUUCUGUUUGAGGGGUUUAGUACUGUUAACGUCAAGGCUGUAGGGGGAUUGUCUCUGCAGAGUUUUUGCAACUAUACCAGGGAUGUAAUUAGGGAUUCGAAAAAAGGUGGAGUUCUGAUGAAAAGGUAGCAACCUACCUAACCUCCAUAGAAAAUCAGUAUUAUUUAAUAUUUCAAAUCAAAUCAAAGUCUUUUAAAUAAAAGAAAAAAUUGAGGAAACAAAAUCUUUGAUAAAUAAUUGCAUCCCUGAUAUACCUGCUAUUUUAUGUCAAACAAGUGUUAAGAUAUAUAGUUUAUAGAUUAAGUGUAAUAGGCUUGACUAUUGAAUACAGAAUGACAAAGUCAUCUGUUAGAUAGGUGUGCAUUAUUGGUGCGAAAUUUGUGUAAUACAGGGGAAAGUGCUAUGGGAAUUACUGUAAUAAGGAAUGUUAUCACACAGAAAAACCGGCAACUUAUUUAAACAUAAAAUUUAAGAUCAAAAUUAAUUUCUGUUAAAAUUCACAUUUCAGAUAAAGAUUUUUUUCACUUAUAUUAAUUUCUAAAAAAAAUACGUAAAAAUAUGUGUGCAAUAUUAAAUUUGUUUGUCUCAGUAACUACAAGGGGAGUAAAUUAAAUUAAUAACAAGAAUGGUACAAACAAAUUCAAUCAAUCUGUAGCAUAAACCAGACUUGAAUAACAAGAAUAUACACUAAACUGAUUCAUCAACUCCUUUAUAUUUGAAAUAUAUAUAUAUAACCUUGACCUUGAUUCAAGGUCAUCGUUCCAACAAGCAAGUGAAGGCUGUGUGGUGUACAAGAUGAUGAAUAUACAAGUUUCCAUUUUUUUGUAUAGAUGGGUAAAUUGUUAUGUAUAUACUGUGUGCUCCAGACUCCAAUGGAGUGCUUUAUUAGCAUUGAAAUAUAUAACAACUUUGUUGAUUUUGUUGAUUGAGUGUGAAAUGUAAAAAGCAUUAUUCAAUAUUUUACGGUUAUUUUGCUAUUAUUUUUUUCAGUGAUAUGAGUUGGGACUGCUUUCUGUCUGAAUAUAUCCAUUGGUCGAAACUGAGGUGUAUACCGCAUAGAGACACAAUUGUUCGUCAGAUAUCAGAAUUCUAUAUAUUUUCGUGUUACUGUUUAUUUUGCAGGGUGCCUGUUUGUUUUGUUAGGUUUUACAAGUGUUCGUAGGUUUCUGAAAACAUUGCUCCAUCCAGCAACACACCUUUGAUAGUCGAUGUUUGGUUAAGGACUUGCGGAAUUUCUUAUCCAUAUUGUGAUAUACAAAAUCUCUCGGUUGAAAAGUGAUCAUGUAUUAAUAGACAAUAAAGGAUAUACAAUUCUUAUGCUUGUUACCUGAGAGAGUAACAAGAAGAUUCUGAAUGUUAGAUUUUAGGACUUCCACUAUUCUGCAAAAAAAUAUUAACCAUCAGGAAAGAAUUUUGAAGUUAAGCACUCUGCAAUUCGCAAACCUUGUGCUAAACUUCACAAAUCUUCCCUCUGGUUGACAUUUCACUGUAAACAUCACCCAUGAGUGAUAAAGUAUUGAAAAAUCUCAACCCUCGGGAAAGAAUUUUGAAGUUAAGCACUCUGCAAUUCGCAAACCUUGUGCUAAACUUCACAAACCUUCCCUCUGGUUGACAUUUCACUAUAAACAUCACCCAGGAGUGAUAAAGUGUUAUUCUCUGGGAUAAAAGGAUAUUAAUUUAUAAAGUUCUGUAACAAGAAUGAGCAUGAUAUGAUUUUCAAAAAUAGACCUAAGUUGAGGUGAAUAUGUGGUUAUGUGUACCUGAGAAAGCGAUAAUGCUGUUUCCGAAAAAGUAACAGAGUCAAUAUUACAAAUCAGCAACCUGCACAUGAUUAUGAUCAACCAAUGAGGUUGUAGGGAAAAUGUGUGACAUCUAAUAAUCACUUUUAUGUCUCUAACUUUAAUUUGUUAAUGGGGAGGUCACACAGGAAUGGUGUAUUUCUGGAUGGAGCCAAUUACAUUUUAAACGGAGUGUUUAUCUUCCUUUCAGUAUAAUCACUGUCAUUGUAUUUUGAAUCUUUGGUUUUGAUAUGUUGUGUAACAUCAGAUUAAAAGGUUUAUGUCACAAUAAUCAUAAUUCAUAUUACAUCCAGUCCAAGCUGGUCUGGAAUAAGGGGGAUUGAUAGUAUAACGGUACACAGAUGGUACUUACUAGCACAACAAUUUUUAUUUUAUAAAAUUCUCUUUCAUAGUAUUAUCUUACUAGGUAUUGCUUGACUUUAUUUCCAUGUGAAAGUUAGAAAGCUUGCAUUUUGAGGAUACUUUAAAUACUAAAAGUUGUAGUUGUAUAUGUUUACAUGGUAGAUGUCAAAGGAUAAUGUAUGCAAAGCAUGAAAAAGGAGUUGUUUCUGUUCCCUGGUCAACUGGGGGUUCAUAUUAGAGAACUUAAGGUUUCUAUGUUGACCAUUGGGGUCUUAUGAUGAACUACAACACUUAUAAACUAUAGGCUCUAGAGAUGAACAUUGGCUCAUAGUGAACUUUAGGCUGUUACUGUGACAACUUUAAUAACAACACAACUACAGCUGUCAGGCAACUAAUUAGGCUAAAUGAGUUUCAAGGUCAUUAAAAUUGUUACCUCAUUAACCCUCAUUAAUCCUAAUAGUUGCUUUUUUUUUUAAAAUUACUUGAGUGUCUGGCCUGUGUUUCUGUGUUUAACCAGACAAUCUGUUCCACUGAUGAGUGAUCUAAUCCUCUGUCCCUCUAUAUGUGAUUCACUUGUCUGUUAUUCAAUGAAUACCUAGGUUGAAAUUCAAAAAUAAAUCAAACCUUUUCUUGAUCUCUUGAUUAUCUAGUCAAAUUCCAAUUAUUACGACUAUAUAAAAAAUGAUAUUAACAGCAUAUAUUGGACUGUAGUUCUUUGUAUUGAUAUAUAACAUUUCUGUGGUUAUGUAGAUAUAUUAAUAUAAAAUUCUGUGGGGAGGGAGGACUAUUGUACAAGGUAUAUUGGUCAUACUUAACAUAUGUACCGAUCAAAUAUCUAGGUCUGAGACCAUCUCUUUUCAUGAAGAAAAUUACUUGAGCUUGGAGCUAUAAGAUUUAUACACAAAGUGACAAUGAAUUGUUAAGACUGUAAAAUACAAAUUACUCCCACAUUGAAAGCACUAUCAAACGAGGCAGCUUUAGAUAGCAGUGAAUUUUCAGAGGGGGUGACUGUUCCCAUGUAUAUUGAAUUAUUUACCUUUGUCUCAAUUGAAGUAUUAUAGAAAAAUUAAGUUGUCAAAAAAUAUUAUUGCCAUAAUUUUGUCAAGUAUCUGAAAAAGCAACGAUUACUUAUCAAGAAUUUAUUUUAGUCGGACAGUAUUUACUGUAACUGUUUUGAUACAUUUAGAGACGAACCCUAGUAUCAAGGUCAAAUUGGGAAAUAAACUUAAUACCCUUUUUAGAACUGUUUAGGCUUAUCUGUGGUAAAAUAGGUGUAUAUGUAUACCCUUUGCUGAUUAUGUAAGCAUAUAAAUAUAGUGAGUACAAUUGUAAUAAUUUUCUUUCCAUCCUAUAACCUACCUGUUGUUGUUGUGGCUUACCUGUCCAUACAUACUCGUUUUUGUACGUGUUCGGUGCUGUACAAUUGUGUCCUAGCCCUACCUUACUAUAACCCAUUGUUGUAUGUGUGCAGUAUUGUAUAUGUGACUCAGUAUAUAUACUAAUUAUCUCAUACCCAGAUGUGUAGUGUUACUAUUUGAUAGUCAGGGGAGGAGAUAGCAACAUGUUUAGGAUUCAACAUAUUGUUUUAAACCUCUCAGUCACUCCUCUGAAUAUUCUUUAAAUUAGCUUGAUGUAAAGCUUCAUAUAUUUACAAAGAAACACUUGCAAUGAUACCUAUGAGAAGAAGCAUAAAUUCUCUUUUUAAAAGAGAAAUCUGCAGCUACUUUUUUUUGUUGCAGUUCUUUUAGUUCAAAAUCCCUUCGACAGUUUUCCUGAUUAAGAAAUAUCUUACUGUAUAAAAUGAAAUGUUUGAAAGUAUUUUCUUUCAUGGUUUGAAGCUAUUUAGGUAGUUUCACAGUAAAAACUUUCAUGGAUACCACAUAUAAAUAUUCAGUAAACCACAUCAAUCAAAUUCGCUGUAUUCAUUUUUGUGGUUCAUAGCAUCCAUGAAAACCAAGGUUUAUACACAACAAACAUUUCAUGUUAUACAGUACCUUACGACUUUUGUACUGUACCGGUGUAGUAAUGUUAGUGUUCUGAACCAUUAGUAAACUCCUGUUAACACAGCAGACUUUGAGCUGUAUGGUAAUUAUAUUGUAUUCCCAGGUACAGUGUUUAUGUACGGUAUGUUCCCAGUAGACGGCACAUUAUUGAUAGUGACUACACCCAACUUUAGGUAGUAAUGUAGUAGUAUUGGUGACAAUACUCUACUGUUAUAUUGUGGACUCCUGUUUCCAUUAGCUUUCGGUCUGCAUAAGAUCAGGAAUUUGUUUCCUAUCUGGAUUCUAUAUUUUGAAAGUCUGGUCUUCAACAUUUUGUACAUAUAAUUCUGUAAUUAAGAUUUCCUCGAUUCAAAUAAUGUAAACAUUUCUCUAUAAGGUAUUUCUAUAAAUCGGGAGUCCUUGUAUUAGCUGUAGUAAGUGUAUUACAUGUAGACAGGAAGACGGUGGCUAUGCCAUUUAGAGCAUAUAUUCCAUUUCAUGUCAGAUUUUUAUAUCGCCAUCAAAUAUCAUUGUAGCUUAGAUUAUAAUUUUUGUUGUCAUUGCCUGUAAUGAUUAAUGUCAUAAAUGCUAUUGUAUCAGUCACCAUCAAAAGCUUCACUCCCUUCUCGUUAUGAACUUGACUCAGUUAGGAGAGUCUAAAGCAUAACAUAAGGGUGAGAAGGAACAUUAUCAUGUUUAUGAUACUAACUUUCACACCCCUGUGAAGAUAUUGAGCUGGUCCGUAAAAUUGGGGGGUGAAGUUUUAUUUUUAUUUUCUUGACACAUCACCAAUCAAGUUACAAAGGCUGGUCCAGAUUAUUAUAAAACAUAUUUUCACUCAUCAAAAUUCUCACACUCUUUAAAAUAAACUACCUUGCCCCCACACCAAUUGUUGAACUCACCUACGUAUUCAUUACUGCUUACUGUAAACUUAUUCAAAGGCAAAAAGGGUAAAAAUAGAACGGAGGUGAAAACAUUCAACUUCACAGCUUCAUGGUUACAGAAUAUCAUACUUGCCUCUAUAGACAUUUUACCCACUGUAUAUUGUACAUAUUUUCUAAAAUAAGAGAUGGGAUGUAAAAUAUAUCGGAAAAUUUUCCAGUUUUCGUUUUUACACGAUGCAAUUUUGCGUUGUAUAUAUAAAAUAUAUUGGAACCUUCUCAUGAUGGGUCAAAAGAAAAUGUGCCUUUUAGGGAUAGAGAUACAUUGUAAUGUGACCUUUAGGGAUAGAGAUACAUUGUAAUGUGACCUUUAGGGAUAGAGAUACAUUGUAAUGUGACCUUUAUGUUAAGGCUGGACCAGAUCAGUCAGAGACAUGGGGGUGAGAAAGUUACCAUCAAUUGUUACCUGGACAACCGUGGUGAAACGGCAGUCAGCAUCACUGUUUGUUAUUAGACUAUAUGAAUAAAUCUUAUCUGCUCAGGAAACGGGCAGAGAAAUCAG